GGGGGCGAAAGGCUUUCGACAGGGUUGUCAAACCUUGGUCAGCGAGUAGUGGAGUUGCACCACUUUAAAAGUAACAGCUUAAAAUGAACUGACAAAACAAAAUCAGUUGCUCUUGCUGCUUAAUUAGCAGCUUGUGUCCUAUCACGGAAUGCCACGGCUGUGAAUAGGGCAUCGACUUAGUGGCGAACAUGAAUGAUUGAGCUCCUCGGCUUUCAUCAGGUAAUAGAGGAUACCGUAGGCUAAAGGCUGUUUGCCGCCGUUAGUUGAGGGGAAGCUUAAAUGACAAACUACACUCGUAGAGCCCUUGGCAAGGCGAUUUUGGACAUGGGUUCGACUCCCAUCGCCUCCACCA
rnacentral:tmRNA from 1 species